rnacentral:rRNA from 1 species
AAUCAACGCUGGCGGCGUGCCUCAGACACGCAAGUCGAACGCGAAAGGUUCCUUCGGGAACCCGGUAGAGUGGCGCACGGGUGAGUAACACGUGGGUAAUUUGCCUUCGGGUGGGGAAUAACAGUCGGAAACGGCUGCUAAUACCGCAUAAUGCAGCGGCAUCAUAAGAUGACAGUUGUUAAAGCGGGGGAUCGUAAGACCUCGCGCCUGAAGAGAAGCCCGCGACGGAUUAGGUAGUUGGUGAGGUAAUGGCUCACCAAGCCCGCGAUCCGUAACCGGCCUGAGAGGGCGGUCGGUCACACUGACACUGACAUACGGGUCAGACUCCUACGGGAGGCAGCAGUCGGGAAUUUUGGGCAAUGGGCGCAAGCCUGACCCAGCAACGCCGCGUGAA